rnacentral:rRNA from 1 species
GAUGAACGCUAGCGGCAGGCUUAACACAUGCAAGUCGAGGGGUAUAGUAGCAAUACUAGAGACCGGCGCACGGGUGCGUAACGCGUAUGCAAUCUACCUUUUGCAGAGGGAUAGCCCAGAGAAAUUUGGAUUAAUACCUCAUAGUAUAGAACAAUCGCAUGAUUGAGCUAUUAAAGUCACAACGGCAAAAGAUGAGCAUGCGUCCCAUUAGUUAGUUGGUAAGGUAACGGCUUACCAAGACUACGAUGGGUAGGGGUCCUGAGAGGGAGAUCCCCCCACACUGGUACUGAGACACGGACCAGACUCCUACGGGAGGCAGCAGUGAGGAAUAUUGGACAAUGGGCGCAAGCCUGAUCCAGCCAUGCCGCGUGCAGGAU